AUUGAACGCUGGCGGCAGGCCUAACACAUGCAAGUCGAGCGAGCGGCGGACGGGUGAGUAAUGUAUGGGAAACUGCCUGAUGGAGGGGGAUAACUACUGGAAACGGUAGCUAAUACCGCAUACCAUCAGAUGUGCCCAGAUGGGAUUAGCUAGUAGGUGGGGUAACGGCUCACCUAGGCGACGAUCCCUAGCUGGUCUGAGAGGAUGACCAGCCACACUGGAACUGAGACACGGUCCAGACUCCUACGGGAGGCAGCAGUGGGGAAUAUUGCACAAUGGGCGCAAGCCUGAUGCAGCCAUGCCGCGUGUAUGAAGAAGGCCUUCGGGUUGUAAAGUACUUUUAGCAGGGAGGCGUUAUCUGCAGAAGAAGCACCGGCUAACUACGUGCCAGCAGCCGCGGUAAUUC
rnacentral:rRNA from 1 species